rnacentral:rRNA from 1 species
GAUGAACGCUGGCGGCGUGCCUAAUACAUGCCAGUCGAGCGAACGGACGAGAAGCUUGCUUUUCUGAUGUUAGCGGCGGACGGGUGAGUAACACGUGGAUAACCUACCUAUAAGACUGGGAUAACUUCGGGAAACCGGAGCUAAUACCGGAUAAUAUUUUGAACCGCAUGGUUCAAAAGUGAAAGACGGUCUUGCUGUCACUUAUAGAUGGAUCCGCGCUGCAUUGGCUAGUUGGUAAGGUAACGGCUUACCAAGGCAACGAUGCAUAGCCGACCUGAGAGGGUGAUCGGCCACACGGGAACUGAGACACGGUCCAGACUCCUACGGGAGGCAGCAGUAGGGAAUCUUCCGCAAUGGGCGAAAGCCUGACGGAGCAACGCCGCGUGAGUGAUGAAGGUCUUCGGAUCGUAAAACUCUGUUAUUAGGGAAGAACAUAUGUGUAAGUAACUGUGCACAUCUUGACGGUACCUAAUCAGAAAGCCACGGCUAACUACGUG